rnacentral:rRNA from 1 species
GACGAACGCUGGCGGCGUGCCUAACACAUGCAAGUCGAGCGAUUAAACCCUUCGGGGUGGAUUAGCGGCGGACGGGUGAGUAACACGUGGGUAACCUGCCUCAAAGUGGGGGAUAGCCUCCCGAAAGGGAGAUAAAUACCGCAUAACAUUAGUUUUUCGCAUGAAGAACUAAUUAAAGGAGUAAACCGCUUUGAGAUGGACCCGCGGCGCAUUAGCUAGUUGGGGAGGUAAAGGCUCACCAAGGCGACGAUGCGUAGCCGACCUGAGAGGGUGAUCGGCCACAUUGGAACUGAGACACGGUCCAGACUCCUACGGGAGGCAGCAAUGGGGAAUAGUGCAAAAAGGGCGAAAGCCUGAUGCAGCAACGCCGCGUGAGUGAUGAAGGCCUUCGGGUUGGAAAGCUCUGUCUUUUGGGACGAUAAUGACGGUACCAAAGGAGGAAGCCACGGCUAACUACGUGCCAGCAGCCGCCGUAA